ensembl:lincRNA
CAGCAGCGAGGGCGGUUGCUAUGACGCCCUGGCUCCUUAGGCACCUGCAGUUCGCAGCUGAGCUGCUAGCCGCGCACCGACCCCGGACCCUCUCAGCACCCUCCAAAAGAAAAUUUCCUCCUGCUUCCUGAGGUUCCCGCCUCAACUCCGAAGAGGAAAGCAUCUAUUCUCCACUCCUUUCCCCCCACAUUCCAGGGCUUUUCCGCUUCUUUUCCAAGGAAGGACCGAAACGAGCCCUUCGUCUGGCCUUUCCAGUCGAAGCUGGAGUGAUUCUGCCUGAAGGAUUCGCCUGUUUUCCCUGGAUCCGCUCUUAUUAAAACAGUGGCUUAGAACACGCUCAGUGAGUUAUGUAGGCGUUCCUUUUCUCACCUAACCGGUGAGGGGCACACCCCGGACAGAUGAUUGCACCCGAAGAUCCAAGUCGCUAAAAGUUCACGGAGGCACAAUUGUCCCCUACUUGUAGGCCGUUUUCUGCUUUUUUUUUUGGCCGGUCUUCGUCAUGCAGAACCUUGAAGAAGACUCUGGAGAAGAUUCUGGAGGCCUUUGGUAACCUCAGCAUUGGAGAAACCCAAAGAAAAUAAGUUGAAGAAAUGUUAUCUCAAGAAGAUUUGUCUAAAAUAGCUCCAAGAAGCUCCUGUGGACAAAUUGCAUAUUCACUGGUAGAAAGAAGAACACUCUUAAAGAAAUUGCAACUUGUGAACUCCAAGCCAGAGUCUCAAAGUCAUAUGAAUGGUAACCUGCAGAAAGAAUUUCCCCAGGAGAAAUUUGAACAAAUCCACCAGCCUCUGCAAAGAGAACAUCAGAAACACCAAGAAUGUGGACAACAGUUUAAAAAAUAUAUGAGUGAGGUAAAAAAAAAAAAAUUACAACCCUUUACUUUACAUUUUAUUUGAUUUGACCUAAUAAAAGCUAAUCCAAAUCAACUUUUACCUGAAUUUGUUUGACUAUAUUAAUAUGACUAUAAUAAUAUGUAUAAUUUGACUAUAUUAAUAUGUAUAGAUUCAGACUGUAAAAUAUGAUCAAGUUGUACAUAAAAGUAUUUUAAACACACCACAAAAUUGGGAAAUUAAAAAUUAAUCAACUUAUACUUAACAUAGUAGCUGAUUUUUAUUGACUGUAUUAAAGUUUAAAUAAUCAAUGUGUGUUAUAUCCUUUAAGAAAUCACUUUGGGGGUUGGGAAUGUGGCUCAGUAUAGAGCCCUUGCCUAGCACUUGCAAAGCCCUAGGUUUGAUUCCCAGCCCUGAAAAAUAUUUUUACAUUAAAUAUAUCAUGACAGAAUCUAUACAGUAAUAUGAAAAAUCUUCUAACAUUAACUUAUACAUAGAUUGGUAUUAAACUUUAUUUAAAAAGUAUGUCAGUAGCUUGGCAUGACAAGGCACACCUGUAAUCCCAGAAACUCAAUGGCUGAGACAGGAGAAACAUAAGUCCAAAACCAGCCUCAGCAACUUGGUGAGACCCUAUCUCAAAAUAAAAAAAUAAAAAGGACUGUGAAUGUAGCUCAGUGGUAAAGCCCCUGGGUUCAAUGCCCUGUACCAAAAAUAUUUUUUUAAAUAUUUGAAUAAAAAAAUACUGCCAAUAAAUACACUAAUAAGCUCAAUGUAGUUUUGAUAUAUUGAUGGCAUUUUCAUUGGUUUUUGUCUCUUAGAGAAAUUUGUAUGGUUAUUAUAUUUAUAUGAUCAUUCUUUUUCAAGGAUCAAAAGUAAAAUAUAAUUGAGACUGAAUUUCUAAGCUUUAAAAAUCUUUGAAAAUAAUUGCAGAAGGGGAGCUCUGGUAUUAAACUUUGAGCCUUGUUAAGUAUUUGAAUACUUUGAAAGUAAAUGAAAUACUUACUGUGAAAACAUUUUAUAAACUGUAUUUAAUGUACCAUAAAAUUGAGAAAUGUCAUCUCUCUUUUUUGAAUGAUAUUCACUUUUAUAUUUAAAUUGUAUUCUUUUUUAUAAUCAUAUAAAAACAUAAUAUCUUAG